rnacentral:rRNA from 1 species
GACGUAGGGCGCGAGCGUUGUCCGGAUUUAUUGGGCGUAAAGAGCGUGUAGGCGGCCACACAGGUCUGCUGUGAAAACUCGAGGCUCAACCUCGAGCUGUCGGUGGAAACCGUGUGGCUAGAGUCCGGAAGAGGAGAGUGGAAUUCCCGGUGUAGCGGUGAAAUGCGCAGAUAUCGGGAAGAACACCCGUGGCGAAGGCGGCUCUCUGGGACGGUACUGACGCUGAGACGCGAAAGCGUGGGAAGCGAACAGG